AGUGAACGCUGGCGGCAGGCCUAACACAUGCAAGUCGAACGGCAGCACAGUAAGAGCUUGCUCUUACGGGUGGCGAGUGGCGGACGGGUGAGGAAUACAUCGGAAUCUACUUUUUCGUGGGGGAUAACGUAGGGAAACUUACGCUAAUACCGCAUACGACCUACGGGUGAAAGCAGGGGAUCUUCGGACCUUGCGCGAUUGAAUGAGCCGAGGUCGGAUUAGCUAGUUGGCGGGUAAAGGCCCACCAAGGCGACGAUCCGUAGCUGGUCUGAGAGGAUGAUCAGCCACACUGGAACUGAGACACGGUCCAGACUCCUACGGGAGGCAGCAGUGGGGAAUAUUGGACAAUGGGCGCAAGCCUGAUCCAGCCAUACCGCGUGGGUGAAGAAGGCCUUCGGGUUGUAAAGCCCUUUUGUUGGGAAAGAAAAGCAGCAGGUUAAUCCCCCGCUGUUCUGACGGUACCCAAAGAAUAAGCACCGGCUAACUUCGUG
rnacentral:rRNA from 1 species